UACGUAGGGGGCGAGCGUUGUCCGGAUUUAUUGGGCGUAAAGAGCUCGUAGGCGGUUUGGUAAGUUGGAUGUGAAAUCUCCAGGCUCAACUUGGAGGGGUCAUUCGAUACUGCCAUGACUAGAGUUCGGUAGGGGAGUGUGGAAUUCCUGGUGGAGCGGUGAAAUGCGUAGAUAUCUGGAGGAACACCGGUGGCGAAGGCGGCAUCCUGGACCGGUAUUGACGCUGAGGCGCGAAAGCCAGGGGAGCAAACGGG
rnacentral:rRNA from 1 species